rnacentral:rRNA from 1 species
UACGAAGGGGGCUAGCGUUGUUCGGAAUUACUGGGCGUAAAGCGUUCGUAGGCGGAUUGUUAAGUGAGGGGUGAAAUCCCGAGGCUCAACCUCGGAACUGCCUUUCAUACUGGCAAUCUUGAGUCCGGGAGAGGUGAGUGGAACUCCUAGUGUAGAGGUGAAAUUCGUAGAUAUUAGGAAGAACACCAGUGGCGAAGGCGGCUCACUGGCCCGGAACUGACGCUGAGGUACGAAAGCGUGGGGAGCAAACAGG